rfam:Xenopus tropicalis strain Nigerian Chr02_contig_929, whole genome shotgun sequence.
UGUAGAGUGGCAAUGAAACCGUUACCAUUACUGAGUUUAGUAAUGGUAAGGGUUCUGUUGCUGCUCUUCCA